UACGUAGGGUCCAAGCGUUAUCCGGAAUCACUGGGCGUAAAGCGUGCGUAGGUGGAUUGUUAAGUGCGGUGCGAAAUCCUGUGGCUCAACCAUAUGGACUGUAUCGCAUACUGGCAAUCUAGAGGACAUGAGAGGCAAGUGGAAUUACUGGUGUAGCAGUGAAAUGCGUAGAGAUCAGUAGGAACACCAAUGGCGAAGGCAGCUUGCUGGCAUGUAUCUGACGCUAAGGCACGAAAGCGUGGGGAUCAAACAGGG
rnacentral:rRNA from 1 species